rnacentral:rRNA from 1 species
AACGAACGCUGGCGGCAUGCCUAACACAUGCAAGUCGAGCGGAUGAGGGAAGCUUGCUUCCUGAUUUAGCGGCGGACGGGUGAGUAAUGCCUAGGAAUCUGCCUAUUAGUGGGGGAUAACGUUCCGAAAGGAACGCUAAUACCGCACACGUCCUACGGGAGAAAGUGGGGGAUCUUCGGACCUCACGCUAAUAGAUGAGCCUAGGUCGGAUUAGCUAGUUGGUGAGGUAACGGCUCACCAAGGCGACGAUCCGUAGCUGGUCUGGGAGGAUGAUCAGCCACACUGGAACUGAGACACGGUCCAGACUCCUACGGGAGGCAGCAGUGGGGAAUAUUGGACAAUGGGCGAAAGCCUGAUCCAGCCAUGCCGCGUGUGUGAAGAAGGUCUUCGGAUUGUAAAGCACUUUAAGUUGGGAGGAAGGGCUGUAAGCUAAUAUCUUGCAGCUUUGACGUUACCAACAGAAUAAGCACCGGCUAACUCUGUGCCAGCCGCCGCUGUAACAC